rnacentral:tRNA from 3 species
UUGCGGAUAUGGUUGAAUGGUAAAAUUUCUCUUUGCCAAGGAGAAGACGCGGGUU